AACGAACGCUGGCGGCAGGCCUAACACAUGCAAGUCGAGCGGACCUUUCGGGGUCAGCGGCGGACGGGUGAGUAACGCGUGGGCAUAUGCCCUUCUCUACGGAAUAGUCCCGGGAAACUGGGGGUAAUACCGUAUACGCCCUUUGGGGGAAAGAUUUAUCGGGGAAGGAUUAGCCCGCGCUGGAUUAAGUAGUUGGUGGGGUAAUGGCCUACCAAGCCGACGAUCCAUAGCUGGUUUGAGAGGAUGAUCAGCCACACUGGGACUGAGACACGGCCCAGACUCCGACGGGAAGCAGCAGUAGGGAAUCUUAGACAAUGGGAGCAACCCUGAUCUAGCCAUGCCGCGUAAGUGAUGAAGGCCUUAGGGUUGUAAAGCUCUUUCAGCUGGGAAGAUAAUGACGGUACCAUCAGAAGAAGCCCCGGCUAACUCCGUG
rnacentral:rRNA from 1 species